GCACGCUCAUCGACCGCCAUGCCGCACUUGUUGGCCGUCCUGGCGGUGGCCGCGCUCGGCGCCGUCGCCCUGGCGCUGCCCGAGGACCCCACCAUCACGCACGCGCGGGGCAGCCUGACCGGCAAGCGCCUGCAGAGCGCCGGGCUGCGCGAGGGAGUGCAGAGCAGGGACUACGCCGCGUUCUGGGGCAUUCCGUUCGCCGAGCCUCCCGUCGGCAAGCUCAGGUUCAAGCCGCCGAAGCCCAGGGACUUGCCCGAGAGUCAGUUCGACGCAACCAACGAGCACAACCCGGCGUGCAUCCAGCAGCACAGGACAUCGCUGAGAGUGACCGGCGAAGAGGACUGCCUAAACCUGCAAGUCUUCACCCCGAGUUAUGAUGUCGCCAACCUGCCGGUCGUUGUUCUCAUCCAUGGCGGAGGGUUCAUGUUCAGCCAAGGUCCCCGCUCGGGCGUGCAGUACAUCAUGGACUACGACGUGGUCCUAGUCGUCAUCGCAUAUCGGCUCAACGUUCUUGGUUUCAUGAGCUUCGAGGACCCUGAGCUGCAGGGCAACCUCGGCAUGCUGGACCAGGUGGAGGCCCUCAAGUGGGUGCAGCGGAACGUUCACCACUUCGGCGGGGACAAAGACAGCGUGACUCUGGUCGGCAACUCCGCUGGAUGCGCUAGCUGUCUGCUGCACACCAUGUCGCCAAUGUCCAAAGGCUUGUUCCACCGAGUGAUCGGCACAAGCGGCACCCCCUUGAACCCUUGGGCGCAGCAGCACUCGGCGCGCGAGAACGCGGACCGCGUCGCCUCCCUGGUCGGCUGCAACGCCAGCACCACGGCGGACAAGGUCGCCUGCCUGCAAACCAAGCCCGCCGCCGAGAUCGUCGGCCUGCAGGCGGAGAACUUCCAGCCCUGGAUGCUGAACCCAUUCGCUCCGUUUUCCACUGUGGUAGACGGCCUCUUCUUGACCGGCGAGCCGGAGAAGGUUUUGGAAGACAAGAACGCUGUCAUGGAUGUGCCUCUCAUGCUGGGGUUCGUCCCGCUUGAAGGGCUGUUCCCUGGGGGAGAAUUCUUCUUCAACGACUCGCUGGUGAGGGAGCUGGACGAACACUGGGACACUACAGCGCCCGAGCUGUUGAACUUCCACGACAAGCGCGUCCUGGAAGCGGAAAAGCCGACUCUGUCUCGGAAAAUUCGUGAAUUCUACCUCAAGAACCUCUCGUUGGAAUCGGGCAAGGAACAGCUCAUGAAGCUGAUGACCGACAGGAACUUCCUGUCAGGCGUGUCGAGUCACAUCUCGAGGCGCGCGUCCGUGCAGUCGCAGCCAGUGUACGCGUUCGAGUUCGCCCACCGCGGCGAGUACAGCUACUACGGCGGCGGCCUGGGCGUGGGCCACGGAGACGACAUGCUGUACCCUCUGGAUCUGCUCGGACCCUUCCACCGGGAGGACGAUCAAGUCGUCCGCAGAAACCUCCUUGACCUUUGGUUCUCGUUCAUCAAGACCUCAAAACCCAGCGUUCCGGGUGUUGUAUGGGAGCCGGUGCAGCCGAACAACGCAGAGCCCAGCGUGAACUACCUCCGCAUUGCCGGCCCCAAUGACAUGACCAUGACGACUGCUAAGAACUUGGGCAAUGUUGCCUUCUGGAAGGACUGGAAGGACAUCCAGCCUAAAGGGACGAUCUCGCUCACACGAUACACCACGCGUGGCGUUUCGCGCAAACCGCCGCAACAAUUUGGCCUUCAAGUAAGGAUAUCUGCGCAACUUAAUGACCAAUUACACCUACUUACUCUUCCGCCAGCACAGUAUGCCAUUUAAGUGCUCUUUUAAAGGGAAUCUUCACGGUAAACCUAUCUUCUUGGCUUCCCUGGAAUAUCGGCCAAUUCCCAGAAAAAUCUCCUGAGAUUUCCAGUAACUUUGAAACCACUCUGAGCGUGCCCAGUCGUCCUUGGCCCUCCUGGUCUCAGUCGGCGUCCUGAUCCUCGGCAUGGCUUUGACGAGUUAGUCCAGCAGCUAAUCCAGGAUUCUUCCAAAGAGGGAGUAACGUGCACGCUUUAAGCCGUACGAAGUGUUUUGAGCAUAUAGAUUGAUACUAUCCAGUUUGUGCGAAAUGAUUAAAAAC